CAGCUGUUAGCUCAGUGGUAGAGCGGUAACCUUCUAAGUUAUUGGUCAUGGGUUCUAUUCCCAUAUAGCGGU
rnacentral:tRNA from 1 species